rnacentral:rRNA from 1 species
AGUGAACGCUGGCGGUAGGCCUAACACAUGCAAGUCGAACGGCAGCACAGUAAGAGCUUGCUCUUACGGGUGGCGAGUGGCGGACGGGUGAGGAAUACAUCGGAAUCUACUUUUUCGUGGGGGAUAACGUAGGGAAACUUACGCUAAUACCGCAUACGACCUACGGGUGAAAGCAGGGGAUCUUCGGACCUUGCGCGAUUGAAUGAGCCGAUGUCGGAUUAGCUAGUUGGCGGGGUAAAGGCCCACCAAGGCGACGAGCCGUAGCUGGUCUGAGAGGAUGAUCAGCCACACUGGAACUGAGACACGUUCCAGACUCCUACGGGAGGCAGCAGUGGGGAAUAUUGGACAAUGGGUGCAAGCCUGAUCCAGCCAUACCGCGUGGGUGAAGAAGGCCUUCGGGUUGUAAAGCCCUUUUGUUGGGAAAGAAAAGCAGCAGGUUAAUACCCCGCUGUUCUGACGGUACCCAAAGAAUAAGCACCGGCUAACUUCGUG